ACAACCAUAAAAGACUUUAUUCGCAGUUCAUGCAGACGAACGAAAAGGAACUGCCACUUGUUGUUGAAUUCGAAUAUUGAGCAUACGAAAUCGAUUACAAUUUUCUUUGCUUCUUUGAUUAGACAGCCGUAUUUUAUAAAAUGAAGUUAUUUGUGUUGACGCUGCUUGUUGCAGGUUCAAUUGCCACGCAUGUAGGCACAAAUCAGUUGGAUAGAGCAGGCAAACAUAUGGCUGGACGUUUUCCUCGCAGGGCUGAGGAUUGUAUUGGUGAAGGGUGUAAAAAUCCAACAAUAACAGUCGCUGAUACGUGGGCAGGCAUAUGUUACACAGAUCCUGAAACUAAACAUCCACGAUGCAGUGAUAAGUUUUGCUAUCCGGAUGAAAUCAUUGACCGAUCUACGUUGUAAACCAGACGGCCUCCUAAAAGACUGCAAAUGUAUUAAGAAUCCGGACAUAACAUUUAUUAAACCUACAACUGUACCAC